rnacentral:rRNA from 1 species
UACGGGGGGAGCAAGCGUUGUUCGGAUUCAUUGGGCGUAAAGGGUGCGUAGGCGGCGCGGUAAGUCGGGUGUGAAAUUUCGAGGCUUAACUUCGAAACUGCAUUCGAUACCGCCGUGCUUGAGGACUGGAGAGGAGACUGGAAUUUACGGUGUAGCGGUGAAAUGCGUAGAUAUCGUAAGGAAGACCAGUGGCGAAGGCGGGUCUCUGGACAGGUACUGACGCUGAAGCGCGAAAGCUAGGGGAGCAAACAGG